GGUAACGUGGGGAGGAGCUUGCUCCACCCUGACGACGAGUGGCGAACGGGUGAGUAAUACAUCGGAACGUGUCCGCUCGUGGGGGACAACCAGCCGAAAGGUUGGCUAAUACCGCAUGAGUUCUACGGAAGAAAGAGGGGGACCCGCAAGGGCCUCUCGCGAGCGGAGCGGCCGAUGACUGAUUAGCCAGUUGGUGAGGUAACGGCUCACCAAAGCAACGAUCAGUAGCUGGUCUGAGAGGACGACCAGCCACACUGGGACUGAGACACGGCCCAGACUCCUACGGGAGGCAGCAGUGGGGAAUUUUGGACAAUGGGCGCAAGCCUGAUCCAGCUAUUCCGCGUGUGGGAUGAAGGCCCUCGGGUUGUAAACUACUUUUGUAGAGAACGAAAAGACAUCUUCGAAUAAAGGAUGUUGCUGACGGUACUCUAAGAAUAAGCACCGGCUAACUACGUGCCAGCAGCCGCGGUAAUACGUAGGGUGCGAGCGUUAAUCGGAAUUACUGGGCGUAAAGGGUGCGCAGGCGGUUGAGUAAGACAGAUGUGAAAUCCCCGAGCUUAACUCGGGAAUGGCAUAUGUGACUGCUCGACUAGAGUGUGUCAGAGGGAGGUGGAAUUCCACGUGUAGCAGUGAAAUGCGUAGAUAUGUGGAAGAACACCGAUGGCGAAGGCA
rnacentral:rRNA from 1 species